GGGUAGAUGGCUCAGUGGAUAGAGCUCCAGACUUGGAAUUAGGAGGACAGUGGUUUAAAUCUAUCCU
rnacentral:tRNA from 1 species